rnacentral:rRNA from 1 species
GACGAACGCUGGCGGCGUGCUUAACACAUGCAAGUCGAACGGAAAGGCCCUGCUUUUGUGGGGUGCUCGAGUGGCGAACGGGUGAGUAACACGUGAGUAACCUGCCCUUGACUUUGGGAUAACUUCAGGAAACUGGGGCUAAUACCGGAUAGGAGCUCCUGCUGCAUGGGGGGGGUUGGAAAGUUUCGGCGGUUGGGGAUGGACUCGCGGCUUAUCAGCUUGUUGGUGGGGUAGUGGCUUACCAAGGCUUUGACGGGUAGCCGGCCUGAGAGGGUGACCGGCCACAUUGGGACUGAGAGACGGCCCAGACUCCUACGGGAGGCAGCAGUGGGGAAUAUUGCACAAUGGGCGGAAGCCUGAUGCAGCAACGCCGCGUGCGGGAUGACGGCCUUCGGGUUGUAAACCGCUUUCGCCUGUGACGAAGCGUGAGUGACGGUAAUGAGUAAAGAAGCACCGGCUAACUACGUG